UCGCGAAAACUUUGCAAUAGGCGAAAGCCUGACAGGGCUAUCCCGAGUGCCAUCCGCUGAGGAAGGCUUUUACCCAGUCUAGAACGCUGGGGAAUAAGGAGAGGGCAAGUCUGGUGUCAGCCGCCGCGGUAAUACCAGCUCUCCGAGUGGUGUGGAUGUUUAUUGGGCCUAAAGCAUCCGUAGCUGGCUAAGUUAGUCCCUUGUUAAAUCCACCGAAUUAAUCGUUGGAUCGCGGGGGAUACUGCUUGGCUAGGGGACGAGAGAGGCAGACGGUAUUUUCGGGAGGUGGUAGACUCUAAUACGUACGGACGACCAC
rnacentral:rRNA from 1 species